GUGAGUCAUCGAAUCUUUGAACGCACAUUGCGCCCCCUGGUAUUCCGGGGGGCAUGCCUGUCCGAGCGUCAUUGCUGCCCUCAAGCACGGCUUGUGUGUUGGGCUCCGCCCCCCUCCCGGGGGGCGGGCCCGAAAGGCAGCGGCGGCACCGCGUCCGGUCCUCGAGCGUAUGGGGCUUCGUCACCCGCUCUGUAGGCCCGGCCGGCGCCCGCCGGCGACCCCAAUCAAUCUUUCCAGGUUGACCUCGGAUCAGGUAGGGAUACCCGCUGAACUUAAGCAUAUCAAUAAGCGGAGGA
rnacentral:misc_RNA from 1 species